CCUAGGAAGCUGAGGUCGAGUUCUAGAAAUUUUCUGGCCACCUUCUCUUGGCAGAGCUCGAACCCCCUUAUGAACGCUUCCUAGCCAAAUUGGACCUUCAGGUCCCUCAUCUCCGCGGAGGCCUUGAACUCCUCCACCGCAAGGACUCUGGCCUCCGAGACCAGGACCGGAAUUUGCUCGGCCAAGUUGGCGACCUCGGCCUCCGCCUUUCUCGUCGAUUCCUCCAAGGUCUGCCUCUCCUCCUCCCAGGCUUGUUUCUCUCUUUCCAGAGCCUCCUGGAGGGCGACUACUUCGGCCGUCUUUGCUUGGAGGCGGGCAACCUCGGCAUGGCAGCGUUCCUCCACCUGGAGGAUGUCCCUCCUCGCACGGUUCGCCGCCUCGAUAUAGGCGAGGAGCUGGUGCCCAAUCUGCAAGGGCGGCUAGGGAAUUAAAAUAAAGUCCAAAUAGCCAUGUAAAUGAAGAGUCGCUUACCUCA
rnacentral:lncRNA from 1 species